CUGUAACUGACGCUGAGGCUCGAAAGUAUGGGUAGCAAACAGGGUUAGAUACCUGGUAGUCCAUACCGUAAACGAUGAAUGCUAAGUGUGGAGGGUUUCCGCCUUCAGUGCUGCAGCUAACGCAUUAAGCAUUCCGCCUGGGGAGUACGGCCACAAGGCUGAAACUCAAAGGAAUUGACGGGGGCCCGCACAAGCGGUGGAGCAUGUGGUUUAAUUCGAAGCUACGCGAAGAACCUUACCAGGUCUUGACAUACUAUGCAAAUCUAAGAGAUUAGACGUUCCCUUCGGGGACAUGGAUACAGGUGGUGCAUGGUUGUCGUCAGCUCGUGUCGUGAGAUGUUGGGUUAAGUCCCGCAACGAGCGCAACCCUUAUUAUCGGUUGCCAGCAUUAAGUUGGGCACUCUGGUGAGACUGCCGGUGACAAACCGGAGGAAGGUGGGGAUGACGUCAAAUCAUCAUGCCCCUUAUGACCUGGGCUACACACGUGCUACAAUGGAUGGUACAACGAGUUGCGAACUCGCGAGAGUAAGCUAAUCUCUUAAAGCCAUUCUCAGUUCGGAUUGUAGGCUGCAACUCGCCUACAUGAAGUCGGAAUCGCUAGUAAUCGCGGAUCAGCAUGCCGCGGUGAAUACGUUCCCGGGCCUUGUACACACCGCCCGUCACACCAUGAGAGUUUGUAACACCCAAAGUCGGUGGGGUAACCUUUAGGAACCAGCCGCCUAAGGUGGGACAGAUGAUUAGGGUGAAGUCGUAACAAGGUAACCA
rnacentral:rRNA from 1 species